CUAAUUGCAGUCUUCACUUCACCACUAAACCAGGAUGGGCUUUUAGCCAAAUUGUCCUCUUUUUUUUUUUUUUUAAUUGGGGAAUUGUGGCUUGUUGGCCAACUAAUAAGCUUUUCUUAAAGAACACUGUGACAGGGUGCUACACAGAAGACUGCUUAGCCAACCCUCUGUCACUCCAGCUCAAAUUAAGGGAGGUGAAUUGGAGCUGGGUAGAUCACCUGGUCCUGAAGCUGGGGAAGCCUGGGAAAGCUGGAACAGCUGCUGCCUCAUCAGGCUGGAGCUGGAUAAAAGCCCCAGGGGAAGGAAACCAGGGAGGGAGGAGCUGGAAAGAGGGAAGCUGCAGUAGAGGAGAAGCAGAGAGCAAUAACUUGUCCCUCCUCUCCCUGCCCCUGCUAGUGGACUGUAAGAAGGGGACUACAUGUAUGGUGGGAGCACAGCCUGUAAAUAAAAGCACCAGGUCUGCUAUGUGAGAGAAUCCACAUCCCAGUGAUUUCUUCAGGCAUUUCUGAUUAGAAAGGUUAGAUCAUCUGGUCAGGAAACAGAAACCAUACCACGUGACCGAGAUCUCCUGGCAGCUUUUUUGCUAUCUUUGUUCGCUGACGGAGACCAUGAUGGCUCAUGAAGUGAGUACACCAACCUGCUGAUGCGACAAACAUUGGUGGCUUUACUGAGGGGCUCCGUGCCUGCAAACGCUUCAGGUCUGGUUCAUCACUUUGUACUUCUCAGGAUCAUUCUUAGUUCUUUUAUAAAAGGUGGAUACAAGGUUGGCCCCCCUGAAGUCCUCUGGUACAGACUGCUGUUUUUAAUGGGUACAUUGCAUACCUGGAACUAGAGCUGAGCAAACUGGGCCAGAUCCUCAUUUGGUGUAGACAGGUGCAGCUCAUGAAGUCAAAGGAGUUAUGUCUGACUAUAUCAGCUGAGGGCCUUGAUGGGCCUGACCUCUAUUUGCAAUGAACAAUUUGUGCAUCAUAGGAAGGAUGGCUGGAUCCUUAUGGAGAGACGGGCCUGUGACAAGACUAGCUCACCUCCCCGGGUGGGGAAACAAUGGAGAAGGUCAUGAGAGUGGGGUUUAGGAGUAGAAGUGGUGUCAGUGUUAUGGUGGAAAGGCUUUUACGAAGAGGAGAUGAUGGGCAGACUCGCGAUAACAAACUCAAAAUGCACUUUCUGCAACACUGACUUGAAGUUUGCUGCGUCCAUGAACACUCCUGUCAGUAAACUCACUCCAGAGUGUUUAUGGGAAGACAACACAAAAGGGGAGUGAACUUGGUGGAAAGGAAAUCAUUAAAUUCAACAAAAGGCUGGUGAUAUUUGUUUAGAACUGCUACAGAUGUAGCCUGGAUUAAGAGGGAGGUAGCUUUUGGUGGCUGGGGAACUAGGGACCAUACAUAGUUGCUGAGUUCUACAGUAUUGGCUCUUUGUAUAUGAGCCUCACAUGCAUUUAAAAAUAGAAACAAAAAUAAUAACCUCUCCCUCUUUCUUGCUCCUCAGCCAGUUGGAGAAAGAGCUUGAUUAGUUUAUAGGGUAAUUUGUGCAUGUUAGUGAGUGGAUGUGUGGGCGUGUUGUGGGUCUGUGUAUGUCAAGAGUUUACUGAGCGAGCACUAAUCAAAUAAAUGUGUUUUAGAAUUUUGUUGUGAAAGCAAGGAGACCUGUGGUCCUCAUGGGAGUGAGCCCCAUGGUCCAGGUCCUGCCCAAGUUCUGUCUCCUGCACUCAGGAGCCUCACGCUGUUGAUCCAGUUCUCUUGUCCUGGCAGAACAUAGCCGUUAUGGCCAUGCAGAGAGAGGGGCGCUCUCUAGGUAGUGAAAGUAAUGCUAUGGGGGCUUGGAGUGUCAGCAGUGACCUCGAACUAGACUCUGUACUCAACAGAGAGCCAGUACAGGCAGGAGAGCACCAGGGUGAGGUGUUCACGGUAACCUGAGUUGCUAAACAGAUUGGAUGCUGUAUGUUGUAUCAACUGGCGCUAUUCCAGGGUAUGUAGCAUCCUUCGUAGAUAUUAAGUGCACUAAUCAGUUGUGGAAGUCGUGAGUAGAAGUGAGCAACUAAUAGAUUUUUUUUUUUGGGGGGGGGGGUUCAGUGCCUGAACCAAAAAUCGUAUAUUUAAAAAAAAAUUAAUUUGGGGUUUUUUUUCAGCUUUUCUCACAAUAAUAAAAAAACAGCCAAAACUUUUCUGGCUCAAACAAAAGUCAUUUGAAUGUUGGUUCAAAAUGGAACAUCUAAA